rnacentral:rRNA from 1 species
AACGAACGCUGGCGGCAUGCCUAACACAUGCAAGUCAAACGAGAUCUUCGGGUCUAGUGGCGCACGGGUGCGUAACGCGUGGGAAUCUGCCCUUUGGUUCGGAAUAACAGUUGGAAACGACUGCUAAUACCGGAUGAUGACGAAAGUCCAAAGAUUUAUCGCCAGAGGAUGAGCCCGCGUAGGAUUAGCUAGUUGGUGUGGUAAAGGCGCACCAAGGCGACGAUCCUUAGCUGGUCUGAGAGGAUGAUCGGCCACACUGGGACUGAGACACGGCCCAGACUCCUACGGGAGGCAGCAGUGGGGAAUAUUGGACAAUGGGCGAAAGCCUGAUCCAGCAAUGCCGCGUGAGUGAUGAAGGCCUUAGGGUUGUAAAGCUCUUUUACCCGGGAUGAUAAUGACAGUACCGGGAGAAUAAGCACCGGCUAACUCUGUGCCAGCCGCCGCCGUAA